rnacentral:misc_RNA from 1 species
UCUGUCAGGGAUUGAAGUUGCCGAAGUUGGCGAUUGUUGUCACGUGGCUUCCCAUCAUGCACCGGUUUUUGUGCAGCGUGACGUGUCGUCGAAGAGUCUGAUCGUAGAGCGUACGUGGAGGAAGUUUGUCUGAAAUAGCUGUUCGCUCAAUCCGUCACUUGCCAGUUGUGUUUUCGACGGUGUUACUUCAUUGUUCUGUACAGCAUUUGUAAUCACAAGGUGUUACUAUUGAACAAAAGCAAAAAAUAAAUCAAACUAAUUCAGAAAUUUUCUCUGUAAAAAUCUAAACACAAUGCCUGCAGCACCUAGCUCAACCUCAGUUGGAGCCGGAGGAAGAUCUCCCAGCAAAGUUGUAGCACCAAGAGCAAGCGGCGGUGGUGGUACGGUGCGUCAAAGGAAAACGGCACCAGCUACAUCAGCCAGAAAUCGUAACACAGGCACAAGUUCAGGAGGAAUGUGGAGGUUUUACACAGAUGAUUCCCCUGGCAUCAAAGUUGGUCCCGUACCUGUCCUGGUGAUGUCUCUGUUAUUCAUCGCAUCUGUCUUCAUGCUCCACAUCUGGGGAAAAUAUACUCGUUCUUAAAUAUCAAAAAAUUACAUAUCCUUAUUAAAAAUAAAACUGAAGAGGAGAUGGGGGAAAGAAGUGUCGCAGUCUAAGAUUAUGUGCGAGUCUUUCUAAAACUGCAAACAUGAGAUGGCGGGCUGGCAAUAUUUUCACAUAACAAAAAGUGACGUUCAGACGUUCCGCAUUUGUACACAGCCUCAUAACUCCAUUCCAAUGAAUUCAAAGGAAUUUCAACUUCCUUCAACUUAAAUGUAGUAUAAUAUAAAUUGUAUGAAUUAAUAAAUUAUUCAUAGAAAAUUAAAUAAUAACAACCAGCACCAGAAACCGAAAGCUAAUUUAUGAUGAACUGAUAUUGUUAUAGUUUGUUGGAUGCUCUGAAAACUUCACUCUAAAAUUUAAACGUCGAUUGAUAAUAAUGAAAUUUAUUUUAUAUGUAAAAUGAAAAUAGAAAGGUAAUAAAUAUUAGAUAUUAUAAUUGAUAUUAUCAUCGGGUUACCAAUUCAUCGAUAUCCUCAUUAAAACCAUAGCAGUCUUCUCAACGAAUGGUCAACAGAAUGGUAAACCUUGAUUUUGCUGUUUAUUUAAUUCAGUAUAACAAUAGUCAAUAGAUCAUAAUGCUCGUGCUUUAAUUCUUCGUUCUCUUGAAAAUUCUGACAAAUCUCCAUGUCAUAAACUCCGAUUAAUUCCGUAACUGAAGAAUAUAAGAAAUUUGUGUAAAAUCAUUUAUAUGUACACUAUUUACAUGAUUAUCUUACAAAAAUACAUAUAUAUAUGUAAUAGAUAUAUAUAUAUACAUAUAUGUGGUGAUAUAUGUGUAUAUAUAUAUAGGGAUAUAUAUUCUCUUAUGUACAGAACCUGGGUAAAGAUGUUUUGUACACAUCUGUACUAUAACAAUCCUCAUCAAUUCCCAUAUCACGAAUGAUAAAAAUCUGGCGUAUAAAAAAGAUUUUGUAUUAAAAAACCUGCGUCAACUGAUAGCGAAUAUCUCUCUAGCGUAGGGUCAUCUUUGCUAGUUAG